AUUGAACGCUGGCGGCAGGCCUAACACAUGCAAGUCGAACGAGUGGCGGACGGGUGAGUAAUGUCUGGGCAACUGCCCGAUGGUGGGGGAUAACUACUGGAAACGGUAGCUAAUACCGCAUACCAUCGGAUGUGCCCAGGUGGGAUUAGCUAGUAGGUGGGGUAACGGCUCACCUAGGCGACGAUCCCUAGCUGGUCUGAGCGGAGGACCAGCCAAACUGGAAUGGGUACACGGUCCAGAUGCCUACGGGAGGCAGCGUAGGGGAAUAUUGCACAAGGGGCGCAAGCCUGAUGCAGCCAUGCCGCGUGUAUGAAGAAGGCCUUGGGGUGGUAAAGUACUUUCAGCGAGGAGGCGUUACUCGCAGAAGAAGCACCGGCUAACUCCGUGCCAGCAGCCGCGGUAAUAC
rnacentral:rRNA from 1 species